rnacentral:rRNA from 1 species
AUGGCCCACCUCCAGCUCGCGGCGGUCGCCGGGGGCGGCCGCGCGGGCGACGACAUGGAGGACGUGGCGCUGCUGGGCUCCUACGACGAGGAGAUGGGCGGCGCGGCGCCGGCGGGAGGCGGCGCGGAGGACGCGGAGGAGGAGGCGGAGGCGCACGUGCGGGUGACGGGCAUGACGUGCUCCGCCUGCACCGGCGCUGUCGAGGCCGCCGUCUCCGCCCGCCGCGGCGUGCGGCGCGUCGCCGUCUCCCUGCUCCAGAACCGCGCCCGCGUCGUCUUCGACCCCGCGCUCCUCAAGGUUGAGGAUAUAAUAGAAGCUAUAGAAGAUGCUGGAUUUGACGCUGAAAUUCUUCCAGAUUCUGCAGUCCCUCAACCUAAGUCACAGAAGACAUUGUCAGCACAAUUUAGGAUAGGAGGAAUGACAUGUGCCAAUUGUGUAAACUCGGUUGAGGGUAUCUUAAAGAAACAACCUGGUAUAAAAGGAGCAGUCGUUGCCUUGGCAACCUCAUUAGGAGAAGUUGAGUAUGAUCCGUCUACCAUUAGCAAGGAUGAAAUUGUUCAAGCUAUUGAGGAUGCUGGUUUUGAAGCUGCAUUCUUACAGAGUAGCGAGCAAGAUAAGAUAUUGCUAGGCCUGACUGGCACCCACACAGAGAGGGAUGCAGAUAUACUACAUGAUAUCCUGAAGAAAAUGGAUGGUUUGCGACAGUUUGCUGUAAAUACUACCCUCUCCGAAGUUGAGAUUGUAUUUGAUCCAGAAGCUGUAGGUCUGCGAUCAAUUGUGGAUACUAUUGAAACGGGAAGCAAUGGGAGAUUCAAAGCGCAUGUGCAGAAUCCUUACAGCCGAGGGGCUUCAAAUGACGCACAUGAGGCCUCCAAAAUGCUCCAUCUUCUUCGUUCUAGCUUAUUCCUAAGUAUUCCUGUAUUUUUCAUACGUAUGAUCUGCCCGAGUAUACCUUUCAUCAGUACAUUGCUUCUCAGGCAUUGUGGACCAUUUCAUAUGGGGGAUUUGGUGAACUGGAUAUUGGUUAGCAUUGUACAGUUUGUUGUUGGCAAGAGAUUCUAUGUUGCAGCUUACAGAGCCUUAAGACAUGGUUCUACGAAUAUGGAUGUGUUAGUUGUUCUUGGCACCACUGCAUCAUAUGUAUAUUCCGUUUGUGCACUACUAUACGGAGCAUUCACUGGAUUUCAACCUCCAAUAUAUUUUGAGACAAGUGCAAUGAUAAUUACGUUUGUGUUAUUUGGGAAGUAUCUCGAGGUUCUUGCAAAGGGGAAGACAUCAGAUGCUAUUAAAAAGCUUGUAGAACUUGUCCCUGCUACUGCUAUUUUGCUUCUGAAAGAUAAAGAAGGAAAAUAUGUUGGGGAGAGGGAGAUUGAUGCUCUGUUAGUCCAACCUGGUGAUGUCUUGAAAGUGCUUCCUGGUUCGAAAGUUCCUUCUGAUGGUGUUGUUGUUUGGGGAACAAGCCAUAUCAAUGAAAGUAUGAUAACUGGUGAAUCUGCACCGAUGCCUAAAGAAGUAUCAAGUGUAGUAAUUGGAGGGACAAUCAACUUACAGGGCAUCCUUCAUAUACAAGCAACGAAAGUAGGAUCCGGGACAGUUUUGAGUCAGAUAAUAUCUCUGGUUGAAACCGCUCAAAUGUCCAAAGCUCCUAUUCAGAAAUUUGCCGAUUAUGUGGCUAGCAUUUUCGUUCCAAUUGUCAUCACCUUGUCCAUUCUAACGUUCUCCGUGUGGUUCUUAUGUGGAUCGUUCGGAGCAUAUCCACAUUCAUGGUUUGAUGGAACUAGCAAUUGCUUCGUUUUCUCCCUCAUGUUCUCCAUAUCUGUUGUGGUGAUUGCUUGCCCUUGUGCCCUUGGUCUGGCAACACCAACUGCUGUAAUGGUGGCAACUGGAAUAGGGGCUAAUCAUGGAGUACUUGUAAAAGGUGGAGAUGCAUUGGAGAGGGCUCAAAAUGUAAAUUACGUGAUCUUUGAUAAAACAGGGACACUAACACAAGGAAAGGCUGUUGUUACAACUGCAAAGGUUUUCUCCGGAAUGGACCUUGGAGAUUUCCUCACACUAGUAGCAUCUGCAGAGGCAAGCAGUGAGCAUCCUCUUGCCAAAGCUGUAUUGGAAUAUGCAUUUCAUUUCCAUUUCUUUGGCAAGCUCCCUUCCUCAAAGGAUGGCAUUGAGCAAAGAAAAGAGCAGAUAUUGUCCCAAUGGUUGCUUGAAGCUGAAGAUUUCUCUGCUGUGCCUGGCAAAGGAGUGCAAUGUUUGAUCAACGAUAAGACGGUUUUGAUUGGAAACCGUGCCCUGAUGAACGAAAAUGGGGUGAGCGUUCCCCCGGAAGCUGAAAGUUUCUUGGUAGACCUGGAACUGAAUGCAAAAACAGGCAUUCUGGUGGCAUAUGACAGCAGUUUUGUGGGGUUGAUGGGGAUAGCCGAUCCCCUGAAAAGAGAGGCUGCUGUAGUCGUGGAAGGACUGAAGAAGAUGGGCAUUCAUCCAGUGAUGCUCACAGGCGACAACUGGAGGACUGCACAAGCUGUUGCGAAAGAGGUUGGCAUUGAGGAUGUGAGAGCAGAGGUCAUGCCCGCGGGCAAAGCCGACGUGGUCCGGUCGCUCCAGAAGGACGGGAGCAUAGUGGCCAUGGUCGGGGACGGCAUCAACGACUCCCCGGCCCUCGCGGCGGCGGACGUCGGGAUGGCCAUCGGGGGCGGCACAGACAUCGCCAUCGAGGCGGCGGACUACGUGCUGGUGAGGAACAACCUGGAGGACGUGAUCACGGCGAUCGACCUCUCGAGGAAGACCUUCAACCGGAUCCGCUGGAACUACUUCUUCGCCAUGGCGUACAACGUGGUCGCCAUACCGGUGGCCGCCGGCGCGCUGUUCCCAGUGACGGGGCUCCAGAUGCCGCCGUGGCUGGCCGGCGCCUGCAUGGCCUUCUCGUCCGUGAGCGUGGUGUGCUCCUCGUUGCUGCUGCGGAGAUACAGAAAACCCAGGCUCACCACCGUGCUGCAGAUAACUGUAGAGUAG